rnacentral:lncRNA from 1 species
AAGGGUGAAAUAAAAUUUAAAGCAAAAAUUUUCAUGGCAAACUUUUUUAAUAUCAGUAAAAAUAACCAUAAAAAAGUAAUGACCAUGAAUAAAAAUGCAAUUAUCAACAUUGCUUCAAAUUAAAUGCAACUACAAAUAAAAUAAUUAUGAGCAUAAAGAAAUAAAUCAGUAAUUGUAAGUGUAGGUUUACUAAUUUAACUAUUGGAAAUUGUCAUAUAUUAAAGACGUAAACAAGUAAUAUCAUUAAUAUUGUUCAUCUAAUGCAUAUACAUUUAACUUUAACACAUCAAACUCAUUUAAAGAAAAUCAUUCACAAAAAUGGAUCAUGUAUUGGGCCAAAUGAAUCUUAUCCUAGGCCAAAUAUCAUACACAUAUGCUGUCUGACUCAAAUAAAAUAAGAUAUCAAUACAAAAGUUACCUUUAAAAAUCUCAUUAUUGUUAAAUAUCUCUUGCAUUAAAAGGAAAGUGUAAAGAAUAUUUUGAAAUUAUUUGAAUUGAAUACAAUAUAAGAACCAUGUGCCAACAUUUGUGGAAUACAUAUAAGUUGAUAUUUGGGCAGAAAACAUACAAUUUUGAAUACCUUUACUAAAAAAAAAAAGAAAGAUUGGACAAAGCUAGUGAAACAAACAACUUUUGCCUUCAAAAGUAUGGCAAACCAUUAUCCUAAGCAAAUUAACACAGAAACCGAAAACCAACUAUCACGUGCUCUUGCUUAUAAGCGGGAGCUAAACAUUGGUUCACACAGACGUAAAAAUGGGAACAAUAGACACUGGCGACUAAGUGGAGAGGGAGGGAUGGCAGGGGUCAGGGGGCAAGGACUGUCAAACUACCUAUUGAGUACCAUGCUCACUACCUGGGUGAUGGGUUCAAUUAUACCCCAAACCUCAGCAUCAAGGAAUAUAACCUACUAACAAACCUGCACCUGUACCCCUUAAUCUAAAAUAGAAGUUAAAAUUAUUUUUAUAAAUUAAAAAAAUCUGUAUAAAAAUAUAUGAAAAACCAGAUGUCUGGAAAAAUCCUUCCAGUCAGGAAAACAUAAAGAUACUGAAAAAGAAGCCUUCAGAAAUAUUUUUAAAGUGUAUGGUCCAGCUGUCAAGAGAGUUAAAAAAGAAUCCUCAGAUGCCAAAAAUAGUAGGAAAGUGCAAAUCAUGAGAGGAAACAGUGCUGAAGAUAGAGUUAGUCCCUAACUAACUAUCUUGGAGUUGGAUAGAGGAGUUUAUCGAGGAGACGGCAUUGUCACUCUCCUUUAAACCAGUGUGUAAGUAUUUUUUAAUUUUGUUAUGUUUUUAAAUUGAUGUUCCGCAGUGAAAAGGUAUAUGCAAAACUAUCCCUAAAGGCUGAGGGAGCUGAGAGGCCAAAGAAAGAGUCUAACAAUUCCAGUUUCUCAAAAAGAAAUAUUUAUUGAUUUAUUUAUAAUUUUUACUUCAACAACUUUUUGGGUACAAGUGUUUUUUUGUCACGUGGAUGAGUUAUAUAGUGGUGAAUUCUGAGAUUUUAGUGCACCCAUCACCUGAGUAGUGUAAAUUGUACCUAAUAUGUAGCUUUUUUAUCCCUAUCCUCCCUUCCAGCCUCCCCCUUUUGAGUCUCUAAAGACCAUGAUAUCACUCUGUAUGUCUUUGUACACUCAUAGCUUAGCUCCCGCUUAUAACUGAAACAUACAGUUUUGGUUUUCCAGCCAUGUGUGUUACUUCACUUAGAAUAAUGGCCUCCAGGUCUAUCCAAGUUGCUGCAAAAGAUAUAUAUAUCUUAUACAUAUAUAUACACACACAAUCUUUUUUAAAAGAAAGCAAUAUUUAAUAGGAACUUAUAAACAGAGGCAAUGUCUUGGGUGGCCGCAAGAUAUUGGAUCCCCACAGCCGCCCUCCAGAAAAUAUCCUUUAUAUAUUAAGCUUUUUGGGUAAAACAUGUGCAGCUCUUCAUACCUCAGGCUCUCUUGCUAAAACUUAUGACCAUUAAGAAGGUUAGAUAAGCAUCUUUAUGAGGGGCUCUCUAUGUCACAGGAAUUAUUUAAAGAACUUGCUGCAGAACACAUUGGCAUGCAGGAGUUAAACAUCAGUCGUUGUGGUAGUUUCGCUUCAGGAUGGCAUCACUCUUUCUACGCAAUAGGCUAUUUUCCUACGUUAUAUAAUAAUUACUGUACACAUUUAUCAGGUACAUAGUGAUGUUUUGAAACAUACAAUGUAUAGUGAUUCAAUAGGUUAAUAAGAAGAUCUAUCAUCUUAAACGUUUAUCAUUUCUUUGUUGGGAAUAUUAAAAUCCUCCUUCCUGGUAUUUAAAACUAUGUAUUAUUGUUAGCUAUAGUCAUCCUAUAGUCCUAUAAAACACUAGAACGUAUUCCUCCUAUCUAGCUGUAUUUUGUAUACUUUUACAAACCCCUAUCCUUCCCAGCCUCUGGUAUACUCUGCUCUUCUUUUUACUUCUAUGAGAUCUUCUUUUUUUAGUUUCCUUAUAUGAGCGAGAAUAUGUGGCGCUUAACUUUUUGUUUCUGGCUUAUUUCAGGUACCAUAAUGUCUUCCUUUCCAUCCAUGUUGUAGCAAAUGACAUUUCAUUUUUUAAAAAAAACUGUUAUGGCUAAACAGUAUUCCAUUGUGUACAUAUACAGCAUUUUCUUCAUCCAUUCAUAAACCAGUGCUUAUGUUUUAAAAGACCAUAUGCAUGUUGGAUAAGAUACCUGGUUUGGACUUCUCCAAAGUUAGAAGUGAGAUUGGAUACUAUCAACAAGCCAAGAUCCCUGAAAGGCAAACCCUUAAUAGGCAAAUGAGAAAAUAAUAUACGUCCAACAAAAGGCUAAAGUAGGAAUACUUAACACUCAGCCAGGGCAGUGAAUUGAAAGGGGAAUGUAAAGGGGAAUGAAAGAGGAAUGUUGCUCUAAGAAUUUGUUAUAAUAGCCUUUCACUCAUGUAUAUUUGGGGCUAGAAGUUGAAUUCUACAUAGCCUAAAUCAUUACAAACUGAAAAGUUUAGCUUAAAGAAGUUGAUACUGGAAGUGAUCCCAGUCAGCCUUUACAAAGUCAAACUUUUUCUGGCAGACGUCACUGUAAACCUGAUCUCAAAGAAUUCCCACAGAUAAUAUUCUAAUAAAACUGAGUUCAAAAUAAAAUCAUAAAACAUGUGAGGACCAAACCAAUAUAAUUGAAAGUUAGUACAAACAACAAAGUUAGUAAUCAGAGCUACAAAGGCAGCAGAUAUCAGAAUUAGAGCUUCUGCAGUCUGUGCAAAUGCUAAGGAAGGUUCUUUCUCUUUCCCUUGUUUCUCAAAGCAAGUAUGACUAAACAGAUAUUUUUUCACAGGCCUCAUCUUUUAUUUAAUUAUAUUUUUCAUAUGACAUAAAUUAUUGCAUAGAAAAUUACAUAAUACUACAAGAAAAUAAAAAUUAUCUAUAAUCCCAAUAUCUACAGGUAAAGAACCUAGACAUCCAGUUUAUGUAUAAAUCUAAUCAAAACAGAUUUUUUAAGUAACAUGCUUAUUAUCUGUCAUCUAUCUAUGUUGAGAUCUAUUUUACAACGUAUGUAGAAACAUGUUAACAAUGGUUAGUUGAGUACUGCAAAUGUGCAUAAUCAAUUUCUUCUUUAUAUAUUUUUGUGUUUGCUAAUUUUAGAUGAAACUGUAUUUUAUAGUACAAAAUGGAGCUUUUGAUGAAAGGAACAGGUAUCAGUAAAAAUAAGCUAAUAUUGGCAAAAAUAGCAGAAGAAAACAUAAAUCAAUAUGAGAUCAUGUAAAUUACCCACCUAUUGCCCCAAACAUUACAAACUAGUUACUUACUAAACAGCAAAUUAAGAAAAAAUCAUAACACAUAUAUGGCAUAGUGUUAAUGUAUAAACUAGUCACAAAAUUGGUAAGAAAAACUAUAAGACAUGAAAAAAUAAGGAGAAAACAAAUGAACAAUUCCCAAAAAGUAUAUGCUAUUGGUUAAUCCCGUAGUAAUGCUUAACUUCACUAGUAAUCAAAUAUAUGUGAAGUAAAGAUAUUUUUGCAAUCAAAGUAGUGACAUUAAAAAUAAUAACCUGUUUGAUUUUGAGACUGCAACAGGACGGAUAUUUUUUCACUAUUAACAUAUAGGUUUAUUAUAUCUACAGAGCAAUUUAUCAAUUCUGCAAGGAAUUUAUCAAGUUUCUCCCCAUUGGAAUUUUCCUUAAAAAUAAUUUACAUACUGCUGUCUCUAUAUAUUAGUCACACUGGACCUUUAGUUUCUGGACUACCCUCUACUCCUUCUUGCUUCAAGGCCUUGACAUGAUGGUUUCCCACCCCAAAUUUCUCCUCUUUUGUCCACCAUACUCCUACACAUUAUUAAGAUAUCAAAUUAAACCAUCUUAACCACAGUGACAUCUUGUCCAUUCUCAUGACCAGGUCAGGUCAGCAUCCUAUAGUUUUUCUCUCCCAAUAUCAUAAAUAUCAUUGUUUAAGUUAGCUAGCUAUUCAUUUGUUUUCUAUUAGAAUAUAUUAUCCAUUAUAUUGGUAUGUUGUUCACUACUAUAUCCUCAAUACCUAGCCAAGUUAGCAUUCAAAUAGUAUUCAUAUGAAUGAAUAGUAUUCACUCUCUAUAAUACUCAUAUUAUGUUUAUUUCUAAAAGUGGAAAACUGAAGACAACUUAAACGUAAACGAUAUGAUAAACACUAAGUAUAUUAUUGUAUAUUUGCAAGGGGAGUUAUUAUGUACCCCUUAAAAAGAUUAUUACAAAUAAUUUUUGAAAACAUGGGAAAAUGAAUAAAUUCUACAUAAUCAACAUAAUCUAUACAGAGAACAUAGUUCUUUAUACAAUAUAAUUUCAAAUGAGCCAACCUGGUAUAUUUGGUUGAAAUAGGCAGCAGCAUUAGGUUUUUUUUUCUGUUAUCUCUUAACUAUCUGUACAUUCUAAACACAAUAGUUUAAAAAUAUAAAAAUAUUGAUUUGGAAACCUGACAUAGAAAAUUAAUUAAGUCCUUAUAUUUGGAAAUAUUCCACUCAUUAGGCCAUAAGUAUGAGAUCAAGGCACUUUCGGAAGUUGCCAAAAUAAGUCACUGAGUUUAUAACCUGGGUUGGACAUAAAAGUUAACUUUAAAACUCAAAAUUUGAAACGUUUCUGUGAGUGCAAGUUUGUGUAUAUGAAUGUGUGUGUGUGCAUGUUUAUGUGUGUGUGUGUAUGAAGCCUGAAGACAGAACAUUUCAUAUUUCACCCAGAUUCUAUCCUGUGUUCAUCUUGUGUCCUUUGGUCAGGGACUGUGUUGAAUCUUGCAGCCUUUGGAUCGAUGCUUCUAGAAAAAUCUUUACUCAACUUUAAUUGGUUCAUAACCUGCCUUAUCUCAAAUCACUGAUUUUGAAGAGCAUAUUUAUUUCAUCAGUGUUUUGAUCCCAUAUCCCUCAACUAGACCCUUGUUUCCCUAACUAUAUUUCACAGAACUACAUCUACUCCUCUGACUACUUGCUACACAUCGUACACCAGUAAAAAAGGAUGUUAGAUUCUAAAAAAUGAAAAAAAAACCUUUAAAUAAUUAAAAUAGCAUUCUGUAAAGAAGUACCACCAUCUAUCCUCACUUCCAUGUUCUAAAUGUCAAGAUUGAUCUAAUUUUCUUUC